GAUGAACGCUAGCGGGAGGCCUAACACAUGCAAGCCGAGCGGUAGAGUCUCUUCGGAGACUUGAGAGCGGCGCACGGGUGCGGAACACGUGUGCAACCUGCCUUUAUCUGGGGGAUAGCCUUUCGAAGGGAAGAUUAAUACCCCAUAAUAUACUGGAUGGCAUCAUCUGGUAUUGAAAACUCCGGUGGAUAGAGAUGGGCACGCGCAAGAUUAGAUAGUUGGUGAGGUAACGGCUCACCAAGUCAGCGAUCUUUAGGGGGCCUGAGAGGGUGAUCCCCCACACUGGUACUGAGACACGGACCAGACUCCUACGGGAGGCAGCAGUGAGGAAUAUUGGACAAUGGGUGAGAGCCUGAUCCAGCCAUCCCGCGUGAAGGACGACGGCCCUAUGGGUUGUAAACUUCUUUUGUAUAGGGAUAAACCUAGAUACGUGUAUCUAGCUGAAGGUACUAGACGAAUAAGCACCGGCUAACUCCGUG
rnacentral:rRNA from 1 species